UACAGAGGUGGCAAGCGUUGUUCGGAAUUACUGGGCGUAAAGGGCGCGUAGGCGGCCUACUAAGUCAGACGUGAAAUCCCCCGGCUUAACCUGGGAACUGCGUCUGAUACUGGAAGGCUUGAGUAUGGGAGAGGGAUGUAGAAUUCCAGGUGUAGCGGUGAAAUGCGUAGAUAUCUGGAGGAAUACCGGUGGCGAAGGCGGCAUCCUGGACCAUUACUGACGCUGAGGCGCGAAAGCUAGGGGAGCAACGGGG
rnacentral:rRNA from 1 species